rnacentral:rRNA from 1 species
GCCAGACUCCUACGGGAGGCAGCAGUGAGGAAUAUUGGUCAAUGGGCGAGAGCCUGAACCAGCCAAGUCGCGUGAAGGAUGACGGCCCUACGGGUUGUAAACUUCUUUUGUCAGGGAGCAAUUGGGUCCACGCGUGGGCUUAGCGAGAGCACCUGAAGAAAAAGCAUCGGCUAACUCCGUGCCAGCAGCCGCGGUAAUACGUAGGGGGCAAGCGUUAUCCGGAUUUACUGGGUGUAAAGGGGGCGCAGACGGCAAUGCAAGCCAGGAGUGAAAGCCCGGGGCCCAACCCCGGGACUGCUCUUGGAACUGCAUGGCUGGAGUACAGGAGGGGCAGGCGGAAUUCCUAGUGUAGCGGUGAAAUGCGUAGAUAUUAGGAGGAACACCGGUGGCGAAGGCGGCCUGCUGGACUGUGACUGACGUUGAGGCCCGAAGGCGUGGGGAGCAAACAGGAUUAGAUACCCGAGUA